UACGUAGGGGGCAAGCGUUGUCCGGAUUUAUUGGGCGUAAAGAGCGUGUAGGCGGCCAGGUAGGUCCGUUGUGAAAACUCGAGGCUCAACCUCGAGACGUCGAUGGAAACCAUCUAGCUAGAGUCCGGAAGAGGAGAGUGGAAUUCCUGGUGUAGCGGUGAAAUGCGCAGAUAUCAGGAAGAACACCCGUGGCGAAGGCGGCUCUCUGGGACGGUACUGACGCUGAGACGCGAAAGCGUGGGGAGCGAACAGG
rnacentral:rRNA from 1 species